CAGAGAACAUCUAUUUUUAGUCAUGUGUACCUGUGGUCUGAGGUUUGGAACAGACAAGAUAUUUGUUCAUUCCUGAUUUCACAGAGGAGGGCUCAGAGCCCAGGCUUGAAGUUUGGAGCAGGAGGAGGGGUCUCAGACCACUUUGCACUUCUUUGGGUCAGCAUGGAGUCAGUCCUGACUUCCUGCACACUCUUCCAUAAGUUGAACUGCUUGUCCAUGCACCUUCAGAUAUUCUUUCAAAUUUGGAGAACUUAAUAGUCUUCAAAGUGUUACCAUCAGAAUAGGUAAACCAUGCAUGGUUACUUCAGAGUGAUCUGACAGUUUUUAACUCAGCCUCUCACCUUUUCUCCACUCCAAUCAUGACACAAGCUGAAGCAUCUGUUCCCUAGGAAGAGUGACUGAGUCCUUGACUGUGUCUCUCAAUAAGAUUAGCAAAACUUUUCCAAGUGACACGCAGCACUGGAGAGGCAAGGAGCUGGUUAUGGACCCGAUAUUUUGGAGAGAAUUAACUGACUGUUACAAGUUGAAGGGAAGGAAAGCAGUGCUGUGCUUGUGCCUUUCCUCUAAGGGAAUGUGCAGAACUUACCAUUUGUGGUCUGUGGUGUCCUAACCCCAUGCAGUGAGUCUUAUGCAGUGCUUCCUCUACCCACAACCUCUAUUUUCCUGUCUCCCUGUCUUGUGACUCUGGAAGUUCUGAUAUAAUUUUUGUGAAAUUAGAGAUGUUUUUUCCUUGUUGCAUGAAUUUAAUUUAUUAUUUGCUGUACCUGUAGAAGUCUGGGCUUUGUUAAGAACAAAACCGUCAGUAUCCCAAUAGUUUAUUCAUCACAGAUGUUUCACCUAAAAAUAAUUCCUUCUUCUUCUUCAGAGUUGUCAUUCCUGUGUUUUACUUGCAUUCAGAGCUGAUCCUACUACAAACACAAUUUCCUAGUGCCAAAACUCUACUCUAGCAGUCAUUUUUUAUCAAUUUUUUAAGAGCU
rnacentral:lncRNA from 1 species